CCUACGGGAGACUGCAGUCGAGAAUCAUUCACAAUGGGGGAAACCCUGAUGGUGCGACGCCGCGUGGGGGAAUGAAGCUCUUCGGUUUGUAAACCCCUGUCAUGUGGGAGCAAAUUAAAAAGAUCGUACCACAUGAGGCAGAGCCGGCUAACUCUGUGCCAGCAGCCGCGGUAAUACAGAGGUCUCAAGCGUUGUUCGGAAUCACUGGGCGUAACGCGUGCGUAGGCUGUUUCGUAAGUCGUGUGUGAAAGGCGCGGGCUCAACCCGCGGACGGCACAUGAUACUGGGAGACUAGAGUAAUGGAGGGGGAACCGGAAUUCUCGGUGUAGCAGUGAAAUGCGUAGAUAUCGAGAGGAACACUCGUGGCGAAGGCGGGUUCCUGGACAGUAACUGACGCUGAGGCACGAAGGCCAGGGGAGCGAAAGGGAUUAGAUACCCCAGUAGUC
rnacentral:rRNA from 1 species